UUUCCUGCAAAACCCCGUGAAAGCGGAAGCACCGAGUUUCAGCACUUCACCGGUGUGUCUCUUCUGUUUCACUCUCCGCUUCUUCUUCUUCUUCUUCAUCGACCCGUUGCUUAACAUGAAGAACCUGAAGCUGUACUCGGAAGUCACUUUGAAUCUCGACCUCCAGUCCGAGGAAGAAGCGAUCUUGUUCUCUGCCAUCGACAUCGAGCGCGACCGAUUGUUCUUCGCUUCCUCGGGGAAUCGCGUAUACACCGCUCACCUCGCUUCUUUUCAGAAUGACGAAGCAUGGACAAGUACUUCUCUACCGGCAGAAGUUGAUAUAAUUGAUUUGGAGCCAGGGGACCGCAUUACUUCCUUUGAUUAUCUGAUGGAGAAAGAAGCUCUGGUAUUGGGUACAUUGAAUGGACUAAUCAUUCUACAUAGUGUGGACGCAAGUACAACAGAAGUUGUGGGCAGAGUGGAUGGUGGAGUCUCUUGCAUUUCACCCAGUCCUGAUGGAGAUCAGCUUGGAAUAAUCACUGGUUUUGGGCAGCUACUAGUGAUGACGCAUGAUUGGGAUUUAUUGCAUGAAACUACGUUGGAGGAUUCUCCUGAAGGGGCUGACGUACUUGAACAUACCAUUUCCUCUGGACAAAUGCUUGAAAGUUCAAUCUCUUGGCGAGGUGAUGGGAAGUACUUUGCAACACUGAGCGAGUCAUGCAAUUCUCCUCCUUCUCAUAAGAGGCUUAAGGUUUGGGAGCGAGACUCAGGGGCAGCACAUGCUACUUCUGAAAUGAAGGCCUUUAUUGGAAGUGUCCUGGAUUGGAUGCCUAGUGGGGCUAAAAUUGCUGCUGUUUAUGACAGGAAGAAGGAAAAUGAGUGUCCACUGUUGGUUUUGUUUGAAAGAAAUGGGUUGGAGAGAAGCUCAUUUAGUAUUGAUGAUCGGAUGGAUGCGACAGUAGUGAUGUUGAAGUGGAAUUGCGAUUCAGACCUCCUUGUCACCGUUGUCAGAUCCGAAAACUAUGACUCUGUUAGGAUCUGGUACUGCAGCAAUAAUCAUUGGUAUUUAAAACAAGAAAUUAGAUACCCGAGCCAAGAAGGAUUGAAGUUCAUGUGGCAUCCAACAAAACCGUUGCAGUUGAUAUGCUGGACUCUGAGUGGCAGGAGCACGACUUACAACUUGUGCUGGAAUACAGCUGUCACGGAGAACUCGACAGCAUUUGUUGUGGAUGGAUCUAGGAUACGUGUAACCCCUCUUUCUAUAUCUCUUUUGCCACCUCCGAUGUACUUAUUCAGCAUUAAAUUUUCGUCCACUGUUCGGGAUGUUGCUGUUCAUUUCAAAAGUUCAAGAAACUUGUUAGCUGUUGGUUUGUCAAAUGGUUGUUUGUGUAUUCUAGAGCUUCUGCAAAUUGAUACUUGGGAAGAACUAGAGGGCAAGGAAUACAGUGCUGAAGCUUGUUCAUCUGAAACAUUAUUCAGAUCCUUACUACAUCUUAUCUGGUUGGAUUCACACACUCUCCUCAGCGUGUCUCAUUAUGGUGUCAUAAAUGGUAAGUACCAUGGUCAAAAUGGACUCUCUGGUUACCAUCUGGAAGAAAUAGAGCUUGUUUGUUCUGAAGAUCAUGUCCCAAGCUUAAUGACAUGUUCGGGUUGGCAUGCAAAAGCUAUUCAUGGAAUUCCUUUACAAAGACCAGUUAUUUCCAUUGCUUCAGAUCCUGCUAAGCAGUCUUCGGCAGUCAUUCAGUUUGAUGGUGGAAAUUUGUUCAAAUACACAUCGAAAUCAUGUAUACAAGGAGGAGCUAUGAAACGGUGUGAUUUUAACUUUUUAUCAUCUUGCCUUUGGAUGAGUCUUGUUCCUAUUGGUGGCACUUCUUCAGAAUCUUUGCCUUUUGGACUUGACGACAUGGGAAGGCUACAAGUUAGCGGGAAGAUUUUGUGCAAUAACUGCAGUAGUUUCUCAUUUUACUCAAAUCGUGGGGACCAAGUGAUCACACACUUGAUUUUUGCUACCAAACAAGAUCUGCUUUUUGUUGUUGAUACUAGCGAUAUAUUACAUGGAGAUGUGGAGUCAAAGUAUGACAGUUUUAUUCAGGUUGGUAACAAGAGACGGGAUCGAGGAAACAGGAAAUACAUAAAUAUAUGGGAGAGAGGAGCCAAGAUUAUCGGUGUCUUGCAUGGAGAUGAAGCUGCAGUUUUACUUCAGACAACUCGAGGAAAUCUUGAGUGUAUUUACCCUAGAAAGUUGGUUUUAGCUUCUAUUGUCAAUGCAUUGGCUGAGCAGCGUUUUAAAGAUGCACUGUAUAUGGUAAGGCGGCACAGAAUAGACUUCAAUGUUAUCAUUGACUACUGUGGCUGGCAAACAUUUGUCCAACACGCUCCAGAAUUUGUCAAGGAGGUCAAUAAUUUAAAUCAUUUAACCGAGUUCAUUUGUGCCAUAAAGAAAGAAAAUGUUACAGAGAGGCUAUACGAGAAUUAUAUAGCUUUGCCUUACACAAACGAGACCAAAGAUGAGGAGGCCAGAGAGCUGAAGGGCUUUGAUCCCGAUAACAAGGUCUCUUCAGUCCUCCUUGCAAUAAGAACUGCUAUUCAAGGACAACUAGCUGAAAGUCCUGCACGGGAGCUUUGCAUAUUGACCACUUUAGCACGAAGUGAUCCUCCUGCUCUUGAGGAAGCUCUUGAGAGAAUAAAAGUCAUUCGUGAGAUGGAAUUGUCAGGUUUUGAUGACCCACGAAGAAUAAAUUUUCCUUCAGCUGAAGAAGCUUUAAAGCAUCUGCUCUGGUUAUCAGAUUCUGAGGCAGUUUUUGAAGCUGCUCUGGGACUUUAUGAUCUAAAUCUUGCUGCUAUGGUUGCGCUGAACUCCCAGAAAGAUCCUAAGGAAUUUCUUCCUUUCCUUCAAGAGCUGCAACGCAUGCCUGAUGUCAUGAUGCAUUAUACUAUUGACCUUAAGUUGAAGAGGCAUGAGAAUGCUCUUAAGCACAUUGCGUCGGCUGGAGAUGCUCAUUAUGUUGAUUUUAUGAACCUUAUAAAGAAAAAUCCUCAACUUUUCCCUUUGGGACUGCUACUGACUACCGAUCCUAACAAGAGGAAUCAAGUGCUUGAGGCCUGGGGUGAUCAUCUCAAUGAUUUGAAAUGUUUCGAGCACGCUGCAACUACUUAUUUAUGCUGCUCCAACUUAGAAAAAGCUUUGAAGGCUUACCGUUCCUCUGGUAGUUGGUCUGGUGUGCUUGCAGUUGCUGGUCUUUUGAAAUUGGGGAAAGAUGAGACUGUGCAACUGGCUCAUGAGCUCUGUGAAGAACUCCAAGCCCUAGGGAAACCAGGUGAAGCUGCCAAAAUCGCUUUGGAAUAUUGUGCAGAUGUGAAAUCUGGGGUGGGUUUAUUAAUUACUGCAAGGGAGUGGGAGGACGCUUUAAGGAUCUCUUUUCUGCACAGGAGAGACGAUUUAAUCUCUGAAAUCAGGAAUGCAUCUCUUGAAUGUGGGGGCUCACUCAUAAGUGAGUAUGAAGAAGGCUUGGAAAAAGUUGGGAAGUAUUUAACCCGGUACUUAGCUGUUCGGCAGAGAAGAUUACUUCUUGCAGCGAAACUUCGGUCAGAUGAACGAUCAAUGGCUGAUCUUGACGAUGAUACCGCUUCCGAAGCUAGCAGUAACUUCAGUGGAAUGAGUGCUUACACCAGAGGGACAAGGACAGGCUCCGCUGCUUCCAUCGUCAGCUCUACUGCUGGUAGCAAAGCAAGAGAAUCAAGGCGACAGAGAAACAGAGGGAAGAUUCGACCUGGAAGCCCCGACGAGGAAAUGGCCCUAGUAGAGCAUCUGAAGGGCAUGUCUUUAACCAAUGGUGCUAUGUGUGAGCUGCGAUCUUUGCUAAUUUGCCUAGUGAUGCUAGGCAAGCAAGAAAUUGCUAGGAAAUUGCAACGCACUGGAGAAAACUUUCAAUUGUCCCAAAUAGCUGCAGUCAAACUAGCCGAAGAUACAAUGCCCACUGAUGUCAUGGAUGAGAGAGAGCAAACUUUGGAGCGUUACUUCCAUAAAGCAAGGGUUGAAUUGCAAAAUUCGGAGGCUUUCUCCUGGCGUUGCAAGGUCUUCGUCUCUCCUUGAAAGAUGAGUUAGUCCUUGUUUAGAGCAUGCUUACCUUGUAUGACAAUGGGAAAAUUGUUUAAACAGGAUAGUUAGGUUCAUCCGGAAAUGUGCACUACCAAUUUUGUUCUUCUUUAUGAAUUUGGCGGUUUCCCACCACCAUAGAAAUCAGUUGUUUUCUAGGGGUAAUGCGUUCUCGUCAGUAAAAUAGCUGUGGAAUGAUGUGGAUUUAGCCGUGCCCUGCGGAGAACAGUAAACUUCGAACAUUGCUGGUAAGUCUUGGAAGCUUCAAAGCCUAUCCAAAGAUAGCUUAAGUUUUUAGCCACAUGUUACGGGUUAGAAUGUCUUAAUCAAAAGCUUAUAGAUGUGUUAUGUGUAGCUAGGAUUUGAGUUUUGGUGUAAGAAAUUCCACUGACUAAAACGAUGUGCCGUACCUCUAAUUAGUUCAUCUUAUUUUA